GCUGGUGUGGCUCAAAGGCAGAGCAAUCGCCUUGUAAGCGAUGGGUUGCGGGUUCAACUCCUGUCACCAGCU
rnacentral:tRNA from 1 species